rnacentral:rRNA from 1 species
UACGAAGGGGGCUAGCGUUGCUCGGAAUCACUGGGCGUAAAGGGUGCGUAGGCGGGUCUUAAGUCAGGGGUGAAAUCCUGGAGCUCAACUCCAGAACUGCCUUUGAUACUGAAGAUCUUGAGUUCGGGAGAGGUGAGUGGAACUGCGAGUGUAGAGGUGAAAUUCGUAGAUAUUCGGAAGAACACCAGUGGCGAAGGCGGCUCACUGGCCCGGUACUGACGCUGAGGUGCGAAAGCGUGGGGAGCAAACAGG